rnacentral:lncRNA from 1 species
UAUGUACAAUUAGAGAGACACUUUUUACAAAAUGGAAAACUAUUAGAUGCUCCACAUAUGGCAGGUAAACUGUCUCUUGUCACGCCUGUAAACCCAGCACUUUGGGAGGCCAAGAUGGGCAGAUCACGAGGUCAGGAGAUUGAGACCAUCCUGGCUAACAAGGCGAAACCCCGUCUCUACUAAAAAUACAAAAAUUAGCCAGGCGUCCUGGCUGGCGCCUGUAGUCCCAGCUACUCGGGGGGCCUGAGGCAGGAGAAUGGCAUGAACCCGGGAGGCGGAGCUUGCAGUGAGCCGAGAUGGCGCCACUGCACUCCAGCCUGGGCGAUAGAGUGAGACUCCGUCUCAAAAAAAAAAAAAAAAAAAAAAAAAAGGAAGGUGAUGCAAUCACAGAUGAUUUCUCAUACAAAUGCGAGAAUGACUCAGGCAGAGGGACCUACCUCGCAGCGAAUCAUUCCUAAGGAACAUACUUGGGUCCCAAUCAAGGAACUGUCAACGUGACUGGCUGGAUUUCAAAGUUGCUAUGAACCUGUGAAUUCUAUG